rnacentral:rRNA from 1 species
AACGAACGCUGGCGGCAUGCCUAACACAUGCAAGUCGAACGAGACCUUCGGGUCUAGUGGCGCACGGGUGCGUAACGCGUGGGAACCUGCCUUUAGGUUCGGAAUAACUCAGAGAAAUUUGAGCUAAUACCGGAUGAUGUCUUCGGACCAAAGAUUUAUCGCCUUUAGAUGGGCCCGCGUUGGAUUAGCUAGUUGGUGGGGUAAAGGCCUACCAAGGCGACGAUCCAUAGCUGGUCUGAGAGGAUGAUCAGCCACACUGGGACUGAGACACGGCCCAGACUCCUACGGGAGGCAGCAGUGGGGAAUAUUGGACAAUGGGCGAAAGCAUGAUCCAGCAAUGCAGCGUGAGUGAUGAAGGCCUUAGGGUUGUAAAGCUCUUUUACCCGAGAUGAUAAUGACAGUAUCGGGAGAAUAAGCGCCGGCUAACUCCGUG